rnacentral:rRNA from 1 species
GACAAGUCGAGCAGGUACGAAAGUAGGUCAUAGUGAUCCGGUGGUUCUGAAUGGAAGGGCCAUCGCUCAACGGAUAAAAGGUACUCCGGGGAUAACAGGCUGAUACCGCCCAAGAGUUCAUAUCGACGGCGGUGUUUGGCACCUCGAUGUCGGCUCAUCACAUCCUGGGGCUGAAGUAGGUCCCAAGGGUAUGGCUGUUCGCCAUUUAAAGUGGUACGCGAGCUGGGUUUAGAACGUCGUGAGACAGUUCGGUCCCUAUCUGCCGUGGGCGUUGGAGAAUUGAUUGGGGCUGCUCCUAGUACGAGAGGACCGGAGUGGACGCACCACUGGUGUUCCGGUUGUGUCGCCAGACGCAUUGCCGGGUAGCUAAGUGCGGAAGAGAUAAGUGCUGAAAGCAUCUAAGCACGAAACUUGCCAAGAGAUGAGUUCUCCCUGUUUUUAAGACAGUAAGGGUUGUUUAAGACUAAGACGUAGAUAGGUCUGGUGUGUAAGCGGUGCGAGCCGUUGAGCUAACAGAUACUAAUUGCCCGAGAGGCUUAACUAUACAACGCUCAAGGGUUUUG